ensembl:lncRNA
AUAAUAAAAUACAAAAGAGAGUGACCUUGAAAAACUAUUUUUUUCUUAGAAAAAGAAUCAGUUUGAAAAGCACCAUAUUUUAGGAGCUCUUCUAAAACCCAGUAUGUUUAUGGACAGUUUCCAAAAGAAAAUCAGGUGGAAGUCACGUAAAUACUAUCACAUCAUAAUUAAUGUUUUAGUUAUCAUAUAAAGUAAGGACAAUAGAAAUAAGGAAGCUCAGAGUUGUCGGUAUAGAGGAAGUUGCAUAGCUGCUGAAGGUAGCUGAGAAAUGCAAUUUGCUAAUGUAUCACUCUGUAAUCCAUGACUGCAAAGACACUUGACUUAUUUUUGUUUCCUUUCCAUUUCUUCUUGUCCUUCUCUCUGUCAUUUUCCCUUAUCCCUUCUUGUUGUCCGUGCUGGUAUGACUCUCUCUCUCCAGGGAGUGGGAAAAACGGCAGAACAAAGCGCUGGAGGGAGCAGGGCUCAUUGGGAGUCUGAGCUGGAGGCUUUGUAGGGCAGCCAGCUGGACAUACAAAGAGAGUAAGAACGAGAGAGAGAGAGAAAGAAAGCAAAAGGGGGAUGCAGAGAUGGAGAGGUGUAAGCGCGACCCAGGAUAUGGGUGUGGGUGCUGCCGAGGCUCGCGGGGGAGGGGGAGGGAUGAGGAGGAGAACGGCGUGAACACUAGAUCCUGCUUUGUGAUCCACUCAUGCAGAACUUUUGCCCUCACACCCCUGGCCUUCUAUUCUCCAGCUCUUAGCUCUGCAUGCCCACCAUUCACCCCUCGCACCCCCACCUUCAUCCCUGAGAAUUUUUAAUCUAAUCAGUGUUGGAUAAAUGUUACUCGAAUCAAUUGUUCCAUUUUAGUAAAGGAUUCCUAAAAAGAAUGGUGCAAGCAUCAACUGAACUCCUGUUGGUUGUUGUCGGAUGCAAAAUGUCUGAGGUCGGUUAUAGACGUGGGGUCAGGAAGAUUAUUGUGUUCUCCAUCCUCCUGAGCUGAAGAUUAAGGCAUAGUUUAAGGGUCAAUGUGAGCUGGAAUAGCCCUUUGCAGGUCCACCCUGACACCCCAUGGAGGGCUGAAGCGUGGCCAUUUUUGGGUCCUCACCAGGGUUGCUCCACAUGACCUGCUACCUGGCAGGGGGUACAGUGAAAAGAGAGCACUGAACAAGUGACUAGUGUUUGAAAUGCAAGGUCAUGGCUUUGCAAUAUGGGUGGUCAGUGAAAUCUAAAAUACAUUUGUUUUAGGAACUUGUUCCACGUAAAAUACAUUGCUCAAUUCUCAGAAACAGCUGCAUGACUGUUAUGUACUUACAAUGGAAGUCAAUGGGGAAAAACACAAUUAAAGG